rnacentral:lncRNA from 1 species
GCAUAUAGUUAUAAUUCAUUAUUCAUGAUGCAUGAUCACGACUACUUGCUACACAUGUGCCUUAAUUGUGUUUUAAUACGUGAUCGAAUACUUUUCUUAAACAGUGAUAAUACAUGAUACAUGUUAUUGAACUUCUACUUUAUGAUUUAACAUUAACUUAAAUGAUUUAUUGUAGUGAGAAGUUAAGUUUCUCGCUAAACGGUGAUAUAUUUGUCUUAGAUGCAUUUCUGCAUUUUAAUUAUGUUUUAAUAUGAUUAAUUACAUAUGUAAUUAUUUGAAGUAACUCAUAUUAGACUAAAACCAAAAGUAUGCAAAAGGGUGCAUUUUGAUUGGUUGGUUGACUAGGUUGCACGAGACCAUUCUGAAAUUGUUUACACUUGAUUAUAAUGAGUAAGCAUCAGCCCAUAUCUUAUCUCAAGCUAUAAAAACGUGGAGGAACCACAAGAAUCCAGCAAAUACAAGCCUUCCAAUCACCAUCCUCCAUUUGGUCUUGUUGGGAAUGGGUAGAUAAGUGAAGACUUUGUGUUUUGGUCUUCAUUUUCACUUGUCUUCUUCCAAAAACGACCAGACCUAUUUCCUUAAUCUUGUCUUCAUAUUUCUUCACUUCCGUACUUACAUAAGAGAGCAUCAAACCAUAAAAACUCAUAGAAGUAGAGCUAGAACAAGUUCUGCACCUUUUCUAGCUGAAAAUCCUAUGUUUUGAAGUUGAAUUCAUCUCUAAUCAAGGCUUCUAGCACACCUUAUCUAAAACUGAUCCUUUCAUUUCAUAAACCAUUAUUGAUCUUGAGGUAAGUUGAAGCUUUCAUUUGCACAUCGUAGACCUAAUUAUGUGCGCUUUAAUGUGACUUUUGCUAUGUAUUCUCUAUGAUGUUUGAAUGAUUGAUGAGUCAUAGUGAUAUGAAAGAAUAUGUUUUGAAAAUGGGAGUAUGGUACUUGAUUGAUGGUCGAGUAGGCAAGGGACGCGGGAGGAACCGGCGGACCCAACACAUGGUGGCAAAUACCUGAGGUCGAAAGACCAGUAUGGAAAACCCACAAUUAAAGAAAUGAAAUACGGCUAAUACCUGAGGUCGAAAGGCCGGUAUGGAAACCCCCGUAUUAUCUAUUGGCCAAAUUUGAUGAACAGGUUCCAAAAAUCAAAGUCUAUUGCUAUCAGUCAAGUACCACACUUCAAGGGUACCCGAUAAAGAGAAGGAUUUCAAAGAAAAGGAUCACGAAUGAAGUUAUAGAUGUGAUAUUGUACUUAUUGAAUGGAUAAUGUGUUAUGUGAUUGAUAUAUUGCUAUUACAUCAGUUUCAACUUGCUGAGCCAUUAGCUCAUUAGGUUCUUAUGAUGCAGGUAAUGAUGUACAUGUUUAGAAGUUGACCUAGCCAAGAGCGGCUAGUCAGAUAUUUGUUCAUAUGCCAUGCUUCGAGCCAUUUUUGUAGCCGAGCAGAAACUCUGAUUUCAUUUUGUUAGCCGCUCUAUUAUGGUUUUUGUACAAUGUAAUUUUGUAAACAAUGAAUAUAUAUAUGUACGGAUUUUGAGAAAGUACUAAGUUUGAUUUCUUUUCAAAGCAUAUAACGUAUUUUUGUAUUAAAACCAUAAUGUUUAAGUAUAUAUAUAAAAAGCUUAGCAUCCCUAACUUAAUGGCGGUGAUCCGAUUGGAUUCUGCUGUUAGGUUGUGCGGUGUUACAUUUUUGGUAUCAGAGCGGAGGUUUAAAAUCUUUUCUGAAGACAGAAGAAGGCAUAUGAACAUACUUUGGCUGGGAAGCUAGGUUAGAUACGCACAUAAGUAAGUAUACAAAGGCAUACACAAAAUUACUCACGCAAAAGUGCAUUCGCAAAAAGGAUCAUGAAAACACAAACUACAAUCCUAGGACAUUAAUUGUAAUGCCCAACCAUCCAUACAUGGCCAAUAAAAAGCAUAUUGCAUCAAUGCAUAUAGUUAUAAUUCAUUAUUCAUGAUGCAUGAUCACGACUACUUGCUACACAUGUGCCUUAAUUGUGUUUUAAUACGUGAUCGAAUACUUUUCUUAAACAGUGAUAAUACAUGAUACAUGUUAUUGAACUUCUACUUUAUGAUUUAACAUUAACUUAAAUGAUUUAUUGUAGUGAGAAGUUAAGUUUCUCGCUAAACGGUGAUAUAUUUGUCUUAGAUGCAUUUCUGCAUUUUAAUUAUGUUUUAAUAUGAUUAAUUACAUAUGUAAUUAUUUGAAGUAACUCAUAUUAGACUAAAACCAAAAGUAUGCAAAAGGGUGCAUUUUGAUUGGUUGGUUGACUAGGUUGCACGAGACCAUUCUGAAAUUGUUUACACUUGAUUAUAAUGAGUAAGCAUCAGCCCAUAUCUUAUCUCAAGCUAUAAAAACGUGGAGGAACCACAAGAAUCCAGCAAAUACAAGCCUUCCAAUCACCAUCCUCCAUUUGGUCUUGUUGGGAAUGGGUAGAUAAGUGAAGACUUUGUGUUUUGGUCUUCAUUUUCACUUGUCUUCUUCCAAAAACGACCAGACCUAUUUCCUUAAUCUUGUCUUCAUAUUUCUUCACUUCCGUACUUACAUAAGAGAGCAUCAAACCAUAAAAAUCAUAGAAGUAGAGCUAGAACAAGUUCUGCCCCUUUUCUAGCUGAAAAUCCUAUGUUUUGAAGUUGAAUUCAUCUCUAAUCAAGGCUUCUAGCACACCUUAUCUAAGACUAAUCCUUUCAUUUCAUAAACCAUUAUUGAUCUUGAGGUAAGUUGAAGCUUUCAUUUUCACAUCGUAAGAACCUAAUUAUGUGCGCUUUAAUGUGACUUUUGCUAUGUAUUCUCUAUGAUGUUUGAAUGAUUGAUGAGUCAUAGUGAUAUGAAAGAAUAUGUUUUGAAAAUGGGAGUAUGGUACUUGAUUGAUGGUCGAGUAGGCAAGGGACGCGGGAGGAACCGGCGGACCCAACACAUGGUGGCAAAUACCUGAGGUCGAAAGACCAGUAUGGAAAACCCACAAUUAAAGAAAUGAAAUACGGCUAAUACCUGAGGUCGAAAGGCCGGUAUGGAAACCCCCGUAUUAUCUAUUGGCCAAAUUUGAUGAACAGGUUCCAAAAAUCAAAGUCUAUUGCUAUCAGUCAAGUACCACACUUCAAGGGUACCCGAUAAAGAGAAGGAUUUCAAAGAAAAGGAUCACGAAUGAAGUUAUAGAUGUGAUAUUGUACUUAUUGAAUGGAUAAUGUGUUAUGUGAUUGAUAUAUUGCUAUUACAUCAGUUUCAACUUGCUGAGCCAUUAGCUCAUUAGGUUCUUAUGAUGCAGGUAAUGAUGUACAUGUUUAGAAGUUGACCUAGCCAAGAGCGGCUAGUCAGAUAUUUGUUCAUAUGCCAUGCUUCGAGCCAUUUUUGUAGCCGAGCAGAAACUCUGAUUUCAUUUUGUUAGCCGCUCUAUUAUGGUUUUUGUACAAUGUAAUUUUGUAAACAAUGAAUAUAUAUAUGUACGGAUUUUGAGAAAGUACUAAGUUUGAUUUCUUUUCAAAGCAUAUAACGUAUUUUUGUAUUAAAACCAUAAUGUUUAAGUAUAUAUAUAAAAAGCUUAGCAUCCCUAACUUAAUGGCGGUGAUCCGAUUGGAUUCUGCUGUUAGGUUGUGCGGUGUUACAUUUUUGGUAUCAGAGCGGAGGUUUAAAAUCUUUUCUGAAGACAGAAGAAGGCAUAUGAACAUACUUUGGCUGGGAAGCUAGGUUAACUCUUUUCUUAUUUACCUAUGUGUUUAAUUUAUAUGUUGCAUAGCAAAUAUCCAGAAUUGUUCGGUACGUCAAAUUUCGAGGGCGAAAUUUUAUAAGGAGGGAAGAAUUGUAAUGCCCAACCAUCCAUACAUGGCCAAUAAUAAGCAUAUUGCAUCAAUGCAUAUAGUUAUAAUUCAUUAUUCAUGAUGCAUGAUCACGACUACUUGCUACACAUGUGCCUUAAUUGUGUUUUAAUACGUGAUCGAAUACUUUUCUUAAACUGUGAUAAUAUAUGAUACAUGUUAUUGAACUUCUACUUUAUGAUUUAACAUUAACUUAAAUGAUUUAUUGUAGUGAGAAGUUAAGUUUCUCGCUAAACGGUGAUAUAUUUGUCUUAGAUGCAUUUCUGCAUUUUAAUUAUGAUUAAUUACAUAUGUAAUUAUUUGAAGUAACUCAUACUAGACUAAAACCAAAAGUAUGCAAAAUGGUGCAUUUUGAUUGGUUGGUUGACUAGGUUGCACGAGACCAUUCUGAAAUUGUUUACACUUGAUUAUAAUGAGUAUGCAUCAGCCCAUUUCUUAUCUCAAGCUAUAAAAACGUGGAGGAACCACAAGAAUCCAGCAAAUACAAGCCUUCCAAUCACCAUCCUCCAUUUGGCCUUGUUGGGAAUGGGUAGAUAAGUGAAGACUUUGUGUUUUGGUCUUCAUUUUCACUUGUCUUCUUCCAAAAAUGACCAGACCUAUUUCCUUAAUUUUGUCUUCAUAUUUCUUCACUUCCAUACUCACAUAAGAGAGCAUCAAACCAUAAAAACUCAUAGAAGUAGAGCUAGAACAAGUUCUGCACCUUUUCUAGCUGAAAAUCCUAUGUUUUGAAGUUGAAUUCAUCUCUAAUCAAGGCUUCUAGCACACCUUAUCUAAAACUGAUCCUUUCAUUUCAUAAACCAUUAUUGAUCUUGAGGUAAGUUGAAGCUUUCAUUUGCACAUCGUAAGAACCUAAUUAUGUGCGCUUUAAUGUGACUUUUGCUAUGUAUUCUCUAUAAUGUUUGAAUGAUUGAUGAGUCAUAGUGAUAUGAAAGAAUAUGUUUUGAAAAUGGGAGUAUGGUACUUGAUUGAUGGUCGAGUAGGCAAGGGACGCAGGAGGAACCGGCGGACCCAACACAUGGUGGCAAAUACCUGAGGUCGAAAGACCAGUAUGGAAAACCCACAAUUAAAGAAAUGAAAUACGGCUAAUACCUGAGGUCGAAAGGCCGGUAUGGAAACCCCCGUAUUAUCUAUUGGCCAAAUUUGAUGAACAGGUUCCGAAAAUCAAAGUCUAUUGCUAUCAGUCAAGUACCACACUUCAAGGGUACCCGAUAAAGAGAAGGAUUUCAAAGAAAAGGAUCACGAAUGAAGUUAUAGAUGUGAUAUUGUACUUAUUGAAUAGAUAAUGUGUUAUGUGAUUGAUAUAUUGCUAUUACAUCAGUUUCAACUUGCUGAGCCAUUAGCUCAUUAGGUUCUUAUGAUGCAGGUAAUGAUGUACAUGUUUAGAAGUUGACCUAGCCAAGAGCGGCCAGUCAGAUAUUUGUUCAUAUGCCAUGCUUCGAGCCAUUUUUGUAGCCGAGCAGAAACUCUGAUUUCAUUUUGUUAGCCGCUCUAUUAUGGUUUUUGUACAAUGUAAUUUUGUAAACAAUGAAUAUAUAUAUGUACGGAUUUUGAGAAAGUACAAAGUUUGAUUUCUUUUCAAAGCAUAUAACGUAUUUUUGUAUUAAAACCAUAAUGUUUAAGUAUAUAUAUAAAAAGCUUAGCAUCCCUAACUUAAUGGCGGUGAUCCGAUUGGAUUCUGCUGUUAGGUUGUGCGGUGUUACAUUUUUGGUAUCAGAGCGGAGGUUUAAAAUCUUUUCUGAAGACAGAAGAAGGCAUAUGAACAUACUUUGGCUGGGAAGCUUGGUUAACUCUUUUCUUAUUUACCUAUGUGUUUAAUUUAUAUGUUGCAUAGCAAAUAUCCAGAAUUGUUCGGUACGUCAAAUUUCGAGGGCGAAAUUUUAUAAGGAGGGAAGAAUUGUAAUGCCCAACCAUCCAUACAUGGCCAAUAAUAAGCAUAUUGCAUCAAUGCAUAUAGUUAUAAUUCAUUAUUCAUGAUGCAUGAUCACGACUACUUGCUACACAUGUGCCUUAAUUGUGUUUUACUACGUGAUCGAAUACUUUUCUUAAACUGUGAUAAUACAUGAUACAUGUUAUUGAACUUCUACUUUAUGAUUUAACAUUAACUUAAAUGAUUUAUUGUAGUGAGAAGUUAAGUUUCUCGCUAAACGGUGAUAUAUUUGUCUUAGAUGCAUUUCCGCAUUUUAAUUAUGUUUUAAUAUGAUUAAUUACAUAUGUAAUUAUUUGAAGUAACUCAUAUUAGACUAAAACCAAAAGUAUGCAAAAUGGUGCAUUUUGAUUGGUUGGUUGACUAGGUUGCACGAGACCAUUCUGAAAUUGUUUACACUUGAUUAUAAUGAGUAUGCAUCAGCCCAUAUCUUAUCUCAAGCUAUAAAAACGUGGAGGAACCACAAGAAUCCAGCAAAUAAAAGCCUUCCAAUCACCAUCCUCCAUUUGGCCUUGUUGGGAAUGGGUAGAUAAGUGAAGACUUUGUGUUUUGGUCUUCAUUUUCACUUGUCUUCUUCCAAAAACGACCAGACCGAUUUCCUUAAUCUUGUCUUCAUAUUUCUUCACUUCCAUACUCACAUAAGAGAGCAUCAAACCAUAAAAACUCAUAGAAGUAGAGCUAGAACAAGUUCUGCACCUUUUCUAGCUGAAAAUCCUAUGUUUUGAAGUUGAAUUCAUCUCUAAUCAAGGCUUCUAGCACACCUUAUCUAAAACUGAUCCUUUCAUUUCAUAAACCAUUAUUGAUCUUGAGGUAAGUUGAAGCUUUCAUUUGUACAUCGUAAGAACCUAAUUAUGUGCGCUUUAAUGUGACUUUUGCUAUGUAUUCUCUAUGAUGUUUGAAUGAUUGAUGAGUCAUAGUGAUAUGAAAGAAUAUGUUUUGAAAAUGGGAGUAUGGUAUUUGAUUGAUGGUCGAGUAGGCAAGGGACGCGGGAGGAACCGGCGGACCCAACACAUGGUGGCAAAUACCUGAGGUCGAAAGACCAGUAUGGAAAACCCACAAUUAAAGAAAUGAAAUACGGCUAAUACCUUAGGUCGAAAGGCCGGUAUGGAAACCCACGUAUUAUCUAUUGGCCAAAUUUGAUGAACAGGUUCCGAAAAUCAAAGUCUAUUGCUAUCAGUCAAGUACCACACUUCAAGGGUACCCGAUAAAGAGAAGGAUUUCAAAGAAAAGGAUCACGAAUGAAGUUAUAGAUGUGAUAUUGUACUUAUUGAAUGGAUAAUGUGUUAUGUGAUUGAUAUAUUGCUAUUACAUCAGUUUGAACUUGCUGAGCCAUUAGCUCAUUAGGUUCUUAUGAUGCAGGUAAUGAUGUACAUGUUUAGAAGUUGACCUAGCCAAGAGCAGCCAGUCAGAUAUUUGUUCAUAUGCCAUGCUUCGAGCCAUUUUUGUAGCCGAGCAGAAACUCUGAUUUCAUUUUGUUAGCCGCUCUAUUAUGGUUUUUGUACAAUGUAAUUUUGUAAACAAUGAAUAUAUAUAUGUACAUAUUUUGAGAAAGUACAAAGUUUGAUUUCUUUUCAAAGCAUAUAACGUAUUUUUAUAUUAAAACCAUAAUGUUUAAGUAUAUAUAUAUAUAAAAAGCUUAGCAUCCCUAACUUAAUGGCGGUGAUCCGAUUGGAUUCUGCUGUUAGGUUGUGCGGUGUUACAUUUUUGGUAUCAGAGCGGAGGUUUAAAAUCUUUUCUGAAGACAGAAGAAGGCAUAUGAACAUACUUUGGCUGGGAAGCUUGGUUAACUCUUUUCUUAUUUACCUAUGUGUUUAAUUUAUAUGUUGCAUAGCAAAUAUCCAGAAUUGUUCGGUACGUCAAAUUUCGAGGGCGAAAUUUUAUAAGGAGGGAAGAAUUGUAAUGCCCAACCAUCCAUACAUGGCCAACAAUAAGCAUAUUGCAUCAAUGCAUAUAGUUAUAAUUCAUUAUUCAUGAUGCAUGAUCACGACUACUUGCUACACAUGUGCCUUAAUUGUGUUUUAAUACGUGAUCGAAUACUUUUCUUAAACUGUGAUAAUACAUGAUACAUGUUAUUGAACUUCUACAUUAUGAUUUAACAUUAACUUAAAUGAUUUAUUGUAGUGAGAAGUUAAGUUUCUCGGUAAACGGUGAUAUAUUUGUCUUACAUGCAUUUCUGCAUUUUAAUUAUGUUUUAAUAUGAUUAAUUACAUAUGUAAUUAUUUGAAGUAACUCAUAUUAGACUAAAACCAAAAGUAUGCAAAAGGGUGCAUUUUGAUUGGUUGGUUGACUAGGGUUGUUUACACUUGAUUAUAAUGAGUAAGCAUCAGCCCAUAUCUUAUCUCAAGCUAUAAAAACGUGGAGGAACCACAAGAAUCCAGCAAAUACAAGCCUUCCAAUCACCAUCCUCCAUUUGGCCUUGUUGGGAAUGGGUAGAUAAGUGAAGACUUUGUGUUUUGGUCUUCAUUUUCACUUGUCUUCUUCCAAAAAUGACCAGACCUAUUUCCUUAAUUUUGUCUUCAUAUUUCUUCACUUCCAUACUCACAUAAGAGAGCAUCAAACCAUAAAAACUCAUAGAAGUAGAGCUAGAACAAGUUCUGCAACUUUUCUAGCUGAAAAUCCUAUGUUUUGAAGUUGAAUUCAUCUCUAAUCAAGGCUUCUAGCACACCUUAUCUAAGACUGAUCCUUUCAUUUCAUAAACCAUUAUUUAUCUUGAGGUAAGUUGAAGCUUUCAUUUG